rnacentral:rRNA from 1 species
GACGAACGCUGGCGGCGUGCUUAAUACAUGCAAGUCAACUGAAGCAGUUGUAGCAAUACGGCUGUGGAGGUGGCGCACGGGUGAGUAACACGUAGGUAAUCUGCCUUCAGGACUGACACAACUCCGAGAAAUCGGAGCUAAUAUCAGAUAAUGCAGCGGCUUGACAUCAAGACAGUUGUUAAAGCUUCGGUGCCUGGAGAUGAGCCUGCGCCCCAUUAGGUAGUUGGCGGAGUAACAGCCCACCAAGCCUGCGAUGGGUAGCUGGUCUGAGAGGAUGAUCAGCCACACUGGAACUGAGACACGGUCCAGACUCCUACGGGAGGCAG